CAGCUGCUGUGGCCAACACCGUAGAGGCAGCAGCAAGAGACAGACACAGAAGAGGCUUGUACUUCUCAUUUGCUGUAAGUACCGGCGCUCCACCCAUCACCAGCGUCUCUGGGCCUGCCAUUUACAGGGCUGGUGGCUUAUUUAUCAGGGUAAGAGGCAGAUGACAUCACCAUCAUCCUCACUCCCAUGGAGCCUGUGCCUCCACCACCGCCCAUGAUACAGGCCAGCGUUCCCAUGUCUCUCCACCAUUUUCGGGAGCACCAGCUGGCCUUCAUGGAUCAGCAGACAAGCCAGCUGGACUAUAUUGGGCAGCUAAUGUGGGAGCAGAACAGGACAGCGGCGGUGGCAAAGGGCACCUGCAUGGCCAGCGAGAUAAAUAGUUGCAUGCAGGAAUUGACCCACGCAACACAGGAGUGGUCGCAGGUGGCCUGAGACCAACUGCAGGUGAUGAGGGAGUACACGCAGGCUGUACAGGAACAAACGCAGGUGAUUGCGGCCCUGCAGAGGUAGCUGGUGUCACAUACCUGGGAGUGAAGGGCCAUCAACCUCAGCAGUCAGUUCCCUCCAUUCCAGCACACAGAGUGCAUUGCUAGUGAUCCCCACAAGGCGUAGUGUCUACGCACAAGGUCGAGGGUCUUCCCUCUCCCACCUCAAUUUUUUCUAUUAGUUUCCCUCUGAUAAUUUUAUUGAAAUCUGCCUUUUUUUUUUUGUUUAAGUAAAGUAGUUUCCCAAAAAAUGUGUUUGCGGCAGGCUUGCCUACCCUCCCGCAUUCAGUGGGACGCUCCCGAUAUUUCAGUGAGCCUCCCACUGCCCCGCACACAUUGCCAGCCCUCCCUGUUUUUACGAGCUCCUACCUGAAAAUCCGGACUGCGCAUGCGCGAGUCCGCCAAUGUGGGGUGGGCGUAGGCUGCAAGGGAAAGGUCAUGGCCGGCCACCGCACAGCGGGUUUAUGGGUAGCAGUGGCCGUCUUGUGCAGUAUGGAGCCGGGCAGUCUGAGCGGCAGGAGCAGUGUCGGGGGACUAAUGAGAGCAGAGCAGCUGAAGCACAUACUGUAGCCCGGCAGCCAGGGCUCUGCAUCACUGUGGCUGGCCCCGCCCAUCACACUCACACACUGCAUGUAACAGGCCAGCUUUCCUCUUCCUGGUUCCUGCAUGUGCCUGCCUUGAUCUGCCUCCCCCCACCUCACUGUGCAUGGGCCGGAUCCCUGCUCUUCACAGGAGGCAGCAACAAAGGCCAGAGAUGUGCGGUGGGCAGUUUCCGUGUUUUGUGUUUUGGUUUUGGAUCUGGAUCCCCGCUCGUGUUUUGGAUCUGGAUUGGAUUUGCCAAAACCACCCUUUCGGGUUUUGGUUUUGAAUCUUGAUGAUUUAAAAAACUAACUAACAUAAAAAAACAGUUAAAAUCACAAAAUUUGGAGAGAUAUGGAUUACAAAAAUUGGGUUAUGAAUAGGAGGUGAUUGAGAAUAUUGUGGAGAAGAAUUUGAAGAAUUGAUGACCUGAUAUUUCCCCACAGUUGGCGGACAACACAGCAUGGACUGGAUUUAUACAGCAGCACUGGACAUUUGGCAGCAGAGGACACUACCACUGUGAAUGGUCACUGGACUGACUGAUGCACAGGACACUACCACUGGUCUGAUGCAGGACAACACAGAUAAUUAUACAGCAGCACUGGGCAUAUGGCAGCAGAGGACACAAGCACUGUGACUGGACAGAUUCAGCACAGGACACGGACCCUGAGGACACUGAGAGAUCAGAGACACAUCCUCUAGUCACUCUCCAAUGCCGGAGUGAAAAUGGUGGCGACGCUCGGCUCCUUAUAUGGAAUGCAAAGCCCGCGAGAAUCCGACAGCGUGAUGAUGACGUUUUGCCUCAUUCUGGUUUCUGAGUCAGAUGGGAAAAUCCAAGCCUGACUUGGAUCCGGGCUCAGAGCGUGAGUUCCGGUAGGGUUCGGUUCUCAGAGAACCGAACCCGCUCAUCCCUACUUAGUGCAUCUCCCUCAUAGUUUGUUACCAUGGUGUUAUGGUUUUGUUUAUGCUUUCUCGCAUGUUCUUUUCUAUUUGUUCUAAUAUUGUACAGCAUAAUAAGCUAUCAAAUUAAAAUAAAUUCUAAAAUGCACG